UGCAACUCUGAUCGAACAGGAGAUUCAGCGAGCAGUAGAUUUUGUCUGAGUGUGUGCAUGCACGUGUGUGUGCGCACAUGUGUGUGCAUGAAGUCAGAGUACAAAAAUCACAGAAAUGCAAUGCUGGCAUACAGUGAGAGCUGUUGGAAAUGUUUCAUGUUUAAAGACAAAAGCUGAUGUGUUCCCGAUGAAAAUUUUCUUGGCUCUGCAAUUAUUUCACCCAAGGUGCGCCUUUCUGUGUGCAUCUGGAAAGAGUUUUAUCGACAAGCCUAAAAUAAGUGAUUUCUCAGAGCACAGACAUGCUCUUUCUAAGAACACAGAUAUCUCUUAAGAAAAUCUGCACCAAGAUGUUCAAAAAGCAUUGCUGCACGUGGGAAGUUGCAUUUCACAAGCCUCUCACGACACUGCCUCUGUUAUGCAUGCCAAUAAAACCAGGGCAUAGGCCCUCGGAGAUUUACUGAAGAGGCUAUGUCAAGAAUGGGGAGUCACACAGAAUUCACAAGACACAAAGGCGCUGGGGAAGUGAAGCCCAUAACAGGAGAGCUGGACGGAGAUGGGAUUCAGCUGCUGCAUGAGGAAGCAACUUGGGGAAGUGACAAUUUUGUCUGUUUUUCUGCCAGGAAGACAGGGGAGGAGUCUACUCUGUACAGUCUGAAUAGAACUGGAAAGGACUGCAAUCACUCACUGGAAGAUUGAUGUGACUAUUGCAAAUCUGUGUACAGCGUCCUUUUCCCCCCUGCUAUGUCCAGCACCAGUUUCAGAAAUGUCAUAUCCUAAGUUGUUCAGUAAGUAGCUGCAGUAUUUAUCACACCUGGAGAGGACAAACACCACUGAAGAUUUGCAGCAUUGCAUCUAUUCUGUUCUCUGUGAUUCUACUAAAUCCAGCUUAGGUAAUCCUAAUGUAUACCCAUUUAAUUACAGUAAAAGCAAUUCAAUUUCUGACAUCUAAAUUAACCUAGCGCAUGUUGAAACCUACUAGAAAUGGUGACAAGACCUUGUGUGAAAUCAGGUUCAUGCAUGAUACUUUUUCUUAAAAAAAACAUGUAUUAUACACUUGUUACACUAGAACUUGAGGUGAGGAUCACAUAGAGAUCCCGGUAACCACCACCAGAUCAACCACACAGUAUCAGCCUAAAAAAGCUUAAAAUCUCGGUCACCUUUCUGAUAUAAAAAUAAAUCAAUACAAAAAUUUUCCUGCUAGCCAGUUAGGUUAGGGUCUUUUUCUGUACGAAACACAUGUUGAUAUUUGAUUACUCCCUUUAAUAGUGUCCAUCUGUGGAAAAGGCUGCAGUGCCAAUACAUAUGCAUGAAAGCAAUAAUCUUAUUUUCAAUACCAAGGAUUGUUUUAUCUGCUUCAUCUUUAAUAUUCCACUGAUGAGAACAGGUUGUGCAUAUGGUUCUGCAGCAGCUUGUUUGCAGUCCAUUUCAUUGUGAACACCUCCCUUUUCACACCUUCCCUUCCCCACCUGAGCUGAUUCUUUAUACAAUGCAGCAACAUUAGCUUUUAUAUAGUGUUCAUCAUCUGGCCCAAGCCUAAACCUCCUCGUGGGCAGGAUAUUAAAUCAUAAACAGCUCAGGACUAGUUCUGAUAAUGAAGGUUAAAUAUUCUACCAAAUGCAACAGAAAAGAAAAAAAAAAGAAGAGUCUCUUCUCUUACCUAAGUGUGGUCAUAGCUCACUUGAACAAUAACCACGUGUGAAUCAGGGUUAUGGUGAGGCUGUAAACAUGGUCCCCUGGAGACAGUUACCAAACCUGUCUUGUGGAGAAGCAUCUGAGGUGUAAUAUACACUGGGAAAAGUGAAAUUAAACACAUGUAUGAAACACA